UAUGGCUUCAGCCAUUAGAGAUUCUAGAUUGGUCCCUUCUGUUCUUUUUAUUUUGUCAUGUUGUUUUUGUUUGUUUGCUGUCACCUUGAGUUCCAUUGCCAAACAAAACUGAAGCCAGGAGAAGCAGUGACAACUACAAUUGGAAGUUCCUGAUAUUUCCUGCUACAAGCACCACAUUAUAUAUAAUCAGCGAAUUUCACUGUGUCCCUGAGGCUUCUGUUAUGACAUAUACAUAACAGAACAGAGCGAGCCUGGACAUCAUCCAUGACUGUUUCCAGAAGGUGGGUUUUGUUUGUUUGUUUGUUUUCUUUAGAUGUUCUUCCUCCAUCUCCCCAGAAAGCUGUUUCUGCUCUCUGCCACCAGCCUGCCUUCCAUACUGUCUUUCUGUACCUACUCUUUUAGUGAUGUAAAGUGCCCCUUCUUGUUCCCUUUGCCUUUUCCUCCAUAAUAUUCCACACUAAAAUAUGUAUCCAUACACAAAUUCUCACCCCAAACCAAAACCUUUACCAACACAACAUUCUUUGGAGAACCAUACUGUUCACCCAUCUCACAAGUUAUGUCCUUUUCCUCCCCAGCUUCUUCCAGCCAUCAUUUGUCUUCUAAGGCAGAAACAAAGCAAAAUGGAGAAUGCUUUCCUAUUUGGAUUUCCUGAAAACUGCCUGUGUAGCAGGAAGAAACUGAGAUACAGUUAAAUGAAACACCUGGCAUUGUUAUCCAGUUUCUUUUUGUUACAGGAAGAAGCUCUUUUUGCAGAUGCACAAGACCUAAAAAUGGUGCCUGUGUUCAAAGACAAUGAGGGGAGGUAGUAACCAUUCUAAU
rnacentral:lncRNA from 1 species